rnacentral:rRNA from 1 species
UACGUAGGGGGCAAGCGUUGUUCGGAAUUACUGGGCGUAAAGGGCGCGUAGGCGGCAUGGCAAGUCAGGAGUGAAAGCCCGGGGCUCAACCCCGGAACGUCUUUUGAAACUGCCAAGCUAGAGUGCGGAAGAGGCAACUGGAAUUCCCAGUGUAGCGGUGAAAUGCGUAGAUAUUGGGAAGAACACCUGAGGCGAAGGCGGGUUGCUGGGCCGACACUGACGCUGAGGCGCGAAAGCCAGGGGAGCGAACGGG